rnacentral:rRNA from 1 species
AAAGAACUUUGAAGAGAGAGUUCAAGAGUACGUGAAACCGUUCAGGGGUAAACCUGAGAAACCCAAAAGAUCGAAUGGGGAGAUUCAUCGUCAGCAAUACUGGCUUUUGUGUGGUUUUCUCGUCACUGUUCGGGACUUCGGUCUCGCAAUGUGCGAAACUAUUGCAAUAUGCUUGUUUGUCGGCGUGCACUUCUCCCCUAGUAGGACGUCGCGACCCGUUGAGUGUCGGUUUACGAUCUAGGCGGUUGCCUGUUCUAUUUGCACUAAUACUGCUUAUGGAGCAGACCCCUGGUAUUUCUGAUCGACUGCUCGACGGUACUCGCAAGGUAUUGGGCCGCACAUUUUGUGCGUCAGGCUCACCGCAAGCGAGAAUAGUGUCUCUCGGAGUAUCGGACCUAGUGCCGUUCCCGAGCCUGUUCAGCUGUUGGCCGGUGAUGUUCUCUGACUGGCUCUUGAAAAUAAUUAAAAUACCGGUUAGCGACGCUACUGCUUUGGGUACUUUCAGGACCCGUCUUGAAACAAUUGGGACCGCAAAACCUAAAGGCGUAAUGAAAGUGAAGGUCGGCCUUGUGUCGACUAAGGGAGGAUGGGUUGCGUUACGAUGCAUCCCCGCACUCCCGGGGCGUCUCAUACUCAUUGCGAGUAGAGGCGCACCCAGAGCGUACACGUUGGGACCCGAAAGAUGGUGAACUAUGCCUGGUCAGGACGAAGUCAGGGGAAACCCUGAUGGAGGUCCGUAGCGAUUCUGACGUGCAAAUCGAUCGUCGGAACUGGGUAUAGGGGCGAAAGACUAAUCGAACCAUC